rnacentral:rRNA from 1 species
CAAUAGUGUAUAUUAAAGUUGUUGCAGUUAAAAAGCUCGUAGUUGGAUUUCAAGAAACGCAUCUGGGUCACCAGUAUGCUUUCUACCAGUCUCUGACUGUUACUGUGAGAAAAUUAGAGUGUUUCAAGCAGGCAAUUGCAGGAAUACAUUAGCAUGGAAUAACGAAUGGGUCUACAAUUUGGUUGAUUGUAGAUUGCGAUUAAUAGGGACAGUUGGGGGCAUUAGUAUUUAAUUGUCAGAGGUGAAAUUCUUGGAUUAGUUAAAGACUAACGUAUGCGAAAGCAUUUGCCAAGGAUGUUUUCAUUAAUCAAGAACGAAAGAUUGGGGAUCAAAGACGAUUAGAUACCAU